rnacentral:rRNA from 1 species
UGGGGAAUAUUGGGCAAUGGGGGGAACCCUGACCCAGCAACGCCGCGUGAAGGAAGAAGGUUUUCGGAUUGUAAACUUCUGUCCUUGGUGAAGAGGAAGAGACGGUAGCCAAGGAGGAAGCCCCGGCUAACUACGUGCCAGCAGCCGCGGUAAUACGUAGGUGGCGAGCGUUAUCCGGAUUUACUGGGUGUAAAGGGCGUGUAGGCGGGUUUGCAAGUCGGGUGUGAAAGAUUCGGGCUUAACCCGGAGAGGUCAUCCGAAACUGCAGAUCUUGAGUGCUGGAGAGGAUAGUGGAAUUCCUGGUGUAGCGGUAAAAUGCGUAGAGAUCAGGAGGAACACCAGUGGCGAAGGCGGCUAUCUGGACAGUAACUGACGCUGAGGCGCGAAAGCGUGGGGAGCAAACAGG